rnacentral:tRNA from 1 species
GGGGGUAGCUCAGUUGGUAGAGCAUCAGCCUUCCAAGCUGAGGGCCGCGAGUUCGAGUCUCGUUCCCC